UGGAUACCCUGGGUCGGGUCACUGUGGAUACCCUGGGUCGGGUCACUGUGGAUACCUGGGUCGGGGUCACUGUGGAUACCCUGGGUCGGGUCACUGUGGAUACCCGGGGUCGGGUCACUGUGGAUACCCUGGGGUGGGUCACUGUUGGAUACCCUGGGUCGGGUCACUGUGGAUACCGGGUAGGUCACUGUGGAACCCUGGUCGGGUCACUGUGGAUACCCUGGGUCGGGUCACUUGGAUACCUGGGUCGGGUCAUGUGUGAUACCCUGGGUCGGGUCACUGUGGAUACCCUGGUCAGGUCACUGUGGAUACCCUGGGUCAGGUCACUGUGGAUACCCUGGGUCAGUCACUGUG
rnacentral:lncRNA from 1 species